rnacentral:snRNA from 14 species
UGGCUUUCUUGGUGGGUGGGACAGCAUCACCAGGAAGAUAAUUUCCCCAGAGUGAGGCUCAGCUUCUGUGUUCUGGGUGUGCUGGGUCCUCUGACUUUUUCAAACACAGGAAACUCAGCUGCAUAAUAUCUGGCAAAGGGGGACUGUGUUUAUAUUCUCUCCUA